GCGAGAUCAAAUCGCGACUCACCUGAUCGGUACCUCCUCGGGUCAGCUGAUCGGCCCACUUGAGCCCACGGAGACCACCUGUUUGCUAACUUCCACUGUGAGCUGGGCUGCAGAGACACUACACCAAGUGACAAAUGAGGGUGACAGAAUUUGUAACUGAGUGCUAAGCGAGAGAUCACUGCAGCCAGCAGCCGCCGAGUGGACUGGAAUGUAAACCCAUGUGGCCAAUUGUGCACCGUCAAGAGCGCUGCCGUUCCUGUUGUCUCUCCUCCUCCUCUGCCCUCGGCCGGCCUGAAGAUCUCAGCCAUCACUGUUUUGCUCCACCUUGCUGUCCAGCAUCACAAAUGCUGCCAGUUGAUGUUUGUCCCACUGCUUUAGCGGUAUCCCGCAGAGUCUACUCAGGGCAGAAAACACACCCUAUUAAACACUGUUGAGUGCACAAUGACCUUAUGAGGA